rnacentral:tRNA from 2 species
GGAGAGUUGGCCGAGUGGUCGAAGGCGCACGCCUGGAAAGUGUGUAAACCUCAAAAGGGUUUCGAGAGUUCGAAUCUCUCACUCUCCGCCA